ensembl:lncRNA
AAUUGUAAAUGUAGUCAGUAAGACGGCAUCAUGUUAUGGUCCACAUAGCAUUACCACAAAGAACAGAACAAACUUCCAGAGAAACAAGUUUUUGACAGAUCACAAGUAAGUUUCAGUGGACAGAGAGGUACAUGUAUAAUUCCAGCAAUAGGGAAGCUAUGAGAAGAAGAUCACAGCAUCAUUGAUGCCAGCCUGAGCUGCAUAGUGAGUUUGAGGUUAUCUAACUAGAUAUCUGGCUAUUCGGGUUUGACAUUAAGAGCUGUAAUCCAGGCACUUGGGACACCGAGGCAUAAGAGAAACCAUAUCUCAAAAACCAUGGUGCAGUAUGUCUUAUCCCAGGAGCUCAGAGGUAGAGAAUGUCUGUUGAGUUCAGAACCUCAUCUACAUAUGGAAUUCCAAGUCAGCCAGGGUAACAAUGAGACCCUGUCGCAAUUUUUUUCAUAUUUUUUUAAAGAUGUAUUCAUUUAUUAUAUAUAAGUACACUGUAGCUGUCUUCAGAUACUCCAGAAGAGGGAACCGGAUCUCUUUACAGAUGGUUGUGAGCCACCAUGUGGUUGCUGGGAAUUGAACUCAGGACCUCUGGAAAAGUAGUUGGGUGCUCUUAACUGCUGAGCCAUCUCUCCAGCCCAAUUUUUUUCAUAUUUAAGAAAGAGAAAUGAAGUAUCAAUAGAAAAGUGAGGAAUCCUAAGCAGAAAGCUAGCAUUUGAAACUUGAGCCCACCACGGACAGAUAUGUGUCUAUCUGAAGGCCAGGGAGUUGUUUCUUUUAACACUCUGGUCAGAAAUAGUGCCUCCUUUUAAGAUGAGUACUGUACCUAGCAGCCCCAACAAGGCUAUAUAAGAAGAGUUUCUUCCACAGGACUUAACCUACAUGCUCUGAGCAACUGCGUCCUAGACGAGUAUAGUGCACUGGGAGGAGGGCCUACAUUAACUAGAAUUCAUAGAGGUGGGCUGUGCAAAUUUAGCAAGAGGGAAAGUGAACUCCUCCACGGAGCAUUCCCAAGUUAGGAAGUAGGAAGAAGAAAAGGACUCAAGUGGGUGUCCAAUCACCAGAGAGACUUCAACCAGCAACUGAUAGAGCAGAAACACAGACAGCCAAGCAUCAAGUGGAGCUCUGGGAACCCCACAGAGGAAGCCAGAGGGUUCAAGAGCACCAAGAGAAAGAACAUGGCCCACAGAAUCAACUAAGCAGGACUAUUAAGACUGAAGCAACAGUUACAGAGCCUGCAUGGGUCUGACUUAGGUUCUCUGGGUGUCUCUGCUCUUCUACCUGUUCUUGGGACCUGUUUCCUCCUACUGAGUUGCCUUGCCAGCCUUAAACGAGGGUUUGUGCAUAGUCUUAUUGUACCUUGUUAUGGUGUCUUCGGGUGAUACCGUUGGGAGGGAGGCAGGCCUCUUCUUUUCUGAAGGGAAAUAAGGGUUGGAUCUGGGGUACAUGGAGGUGAGAGGGUGAUGGAAGAAGUGGCGGGAGGUGAUUGAUGCUCAGGGUGGGUGGGAGGAGUGUAAGGAGAGGAAACUAAGGUUGAGAUGGAAUGUAUGAGACGUUUUAAAAGGGGGAUGGUAUCCGGAGACUAUACAAUGAAGUGAUCAAAUUUGUAAUACAGUUCUAAUAGGCCAAUGGAUCAGGCAUGGUAAUUACUAUUAGGUUUAGUAAAAUGGAGAUGAUAGCCUUUUGGCUGACAGGUAGGGCGCCAGAGCACGACAAAAGUCUGGCAAGAAUGAUCUGGAAAAUGCAAAAAGUAGACCCAACUCCAGGAAAGUGGUGAGAGAUCCAAGUCCAGAACUUUUGGUUAAACACUCUCUCUCUCUCUCUCUCUCUCUCUCUCUCUCUC